rnacentral:snoRNA from 1 species
ACCCUUUUGUGGUUCAUAAGCAUGAUGAAUGGGUAUUUAUGCAUUUGUGUGAGAUGUGCCUCCCUCAAACUUUGUGACGACAUCAGCACAUUACCUGUCUGAUG